CCUACGGGAGGCAGCAGUGAGGAAUAUUGGUCAAUGGGCGAGAGCCUGAACCAGCCAAGUCGCGUGAGGGAGUACUGCCCUAUGGGUUGUAAACCUCUUUUGUCGGGGAGCAAAAGCCGGACGUGUCCGGCUGUGAGAGUACCCGUAGAAACAGCAUCGGCUACCCCCGUGCCAUCAGCCGCGGUAAUACGGAGGAUGCGAGCGGUAUCCGGAGUUAUUGGGGUUAAAGGGUGGUUUGGGGGAUUUUUACGUCAGCGGUCAAAUCGUGGGGCUAAACCCCAUCCAGCCGUUGAAACUGGGGAUCUGGAGUGUGCGAGGGGUAUGCGGAAUGCGUGGUGUAGCGGUGGAAUGCGUAGAUAUCACGCAGAACCCCGAUUGCGAAGGCAGCAUACCGGUGCACAACUGACGCUCAGGCACGAAAGCGUGGGUAUCGAACAGGAUUAGAUACCCGUGUAGUC
rnacentral:rRNA from 1 species